CCCCAGGAACUAUUUGCAAAUCAGUAGCCCUGCUGGCACAGUAAAGUGACAUUCUAUUUCUUGUGUACAGAUUUUUGCCAACUGCUGACACAAUGUAACUGUCUCAUCUUUUUGUAAACCUUGUUAUGUGUUCUUUAUUCAUGGUCUAGAGAUCUGAUCCAUUUUACAUUGAGCUUCACUUGAAAGUCACCACCUGCACAAAAACAGAAAAGACCACACAACGAGAUGACUGCCCAUUUAUGGACCGAAGGCCACUUAUCAACUGCGCUGUUUGCAAUAAAGGGACUGAGUCCGGCCUCUACGUUCACUGCGCUCCGCAACUGCAAGUAAAUCAGAGAGAUCGGAAAAAGAACUGCCCAAGCUACUUCCCUGGAAGUGUAUUACUUUUGGGCGCCCCCCCUAAACCUCUGGCUCCGUGAUGGCUCUGUGAUGGUUCAAUGCUGUCUGAAAUAAUACGCAUUCCCUUUUCUGCUUUGAAUGAAUGUAC